AGUUAAAAGUUCCAUCCAUUUGUAUUGUUAAAAACUAGUGUGGUUAAUGGAAUAACCAAACAAUGACAUGUGACUUGCCACAUUAAUCUCAUGUUGGCGUAUAUGGACUAAUUUUUAACAAUAUAUAGAAAUGGAUGUAAUUUUUAACA
rfam:Gossypium hirsutum cultivar TM-1 chromosome 5, whole genome shotgun sequence